AAGGGACUUAAUAAAUAGUGGUUUGGACCAUGGGGCUCAUAGUGAAAAGAAUUGUUACUUAUUUUGAGAAUCAUUACCUCAAUCUGUGUUUUCUUUUGCAUGAGCCUCUAUUGCUGCUGUGGAUCUGCCUCCAGCACAGCCAGAGAGCCGCCAAAGAAGCUACCACCACACAGCGAAACCCCAGGCUGACCGCUCAGGGCACACUGCAGAAGAGAGGGGGAUAUGUGAUCGUAUGAGUGGAUCAUGACGGGUGGAGUGUUGGAGGAGGUCCCCGAGAAGACAUGAAUUCUGGUUGACCUGUGGGCUGGACUCCAGCAAUCCAAGGCCCCUCGACCCCUUCCCUGUCCUAUGAAUGUACUUUCUCCCCGCUGUUCCCUUAGCAGGAGCCAUUUUCAAGGACGCAGCCUUAAGAGAACAACGUGUUAUUGAGACCAUCUGGAUGCUAUGUGCGACUGAACCCAAUUAAGGCCUCUGUAGAAACUUUAAAGAUUCUGGUGGGCAGGUGCGGAGAUCUACUCGUCUUGCAACUGCCGAAGACAAGCCUCGAAUCAAAUAUUCCCACAAUCCUCUGUAUCAUCAAGUCAGAAGCCUGAAAGUAUGGAAUGUCUAAAAAUCUGGAAUGACUCCCACCUAUCUACCUAUCUUUCUUCCACUUGCCCCCCACUCCACUCCCAGCCAAUUUGAUUGUUUCUUUGCAUUUCUUUUUUUUUUUUCUUUUGAAGAAGAUUGGCUCUGAGCUAACAUCUGCCCCAAUCCUCUUUUUGCUGAGGAAGACUGGCCCUGAGCUAACAUCUCUGCCCAUCUUACUCUACUUUAUAUAUGAGAUGCGUGCCACAGCAUGGCUUGACAGGUGGUGCAUAGAUCCACACCCGCGAUC
rnacentral:lncRNA from 1 species